rnacentral:rRNA from 1 species
AUUGAACGCUGGCGGCAUGCCUAACACAUGCAAGUCGAACGGCAGCGCGGGUAGCAAUACCUGGCGGCGAGUGGCGGACGGGUGAGGAAUGCAUCGGAAUCUGCCCGGUUGUGGGGGAUAACUCAGCGAAAGUUGAGCUAAUACCGCAUGAGACCGAGAGGUGAAAGCGGGGGACCGAAAGGCCUCGCGCGAUCGGAUGAGCCGAUGCCGGAUUAGCUAGUUGGUAGGGUAAAGGCCUACCAAGGCGACGAUCCGUAGCUGGUCUGAGAGGAUGAUCAGCCACACUGGGACUGAGACACGGCCCAGACUCCUACGGGAGGCAGCAGUGGGGAAUAUUGGACAAUGGGCGCAAGCCUGAUCCAGCAAUGCCGCGUGUGUGAAGAAGGCCUCGG